GACAGAGGUGCCAAGCGUUUAGGCGGAAUCACUGGGGCUUAAAAGCGUGUGUAGGCGGAUCGUUAAGUACCUUGUGAAAUCCCACGGCUCAACCGUGGAACUGCUGGGUAUACUGGCGGUCUUGAGCCACCUAGGGGCGAGCGGAACAAGCGGUGGAGCGGUGAAAUGCGUAGAUAUCGCUUGGAACGCCAACGGUGAAAACAGCUCGCUGGGGGUGUGCUGACGCUGGAGACACGAAAGCCAGGGGAGCGAACGGG
rnacentral:rRNA from 1 species